rnacentral:rRNA from 1 species
ACACUCCUGCGGGAGGCGGCAGUGGGGAAUUUUGGACAAUGGGCGAAAGCCUGAUCCAGCAAUGCCGCGUGAGUGAAGAAGGCCUUCGGGUUGUAAAGCUCUUUUGUCAGGGAAGAAACGGUGAAAGCUAAUAUCUUUUGCUAAUGACGGUACCUGAAGAAUAACCACCGGCUAACUACGUGCCAGCAGCCGCGGUAAUACGUAGGGUGCAAGCGUUAAUCGGAAUUACUGGGCGUAAAGCGUGCGCAGGCGGUUUUGUAAGUCUGAUGUGAAAUCCCCGGGCUCAACCUGGGAAUUGCAUUGGAGACUGCAAGGCUAGAAUCUGGCAGAGGGGGGUAGAAUUCCACGUGUAGCAGUGAAAUGCGUAGAUAUGUGGAGGAACACCGAUGGCGAAGGCAGCCCCCUGGGUCAAGAUUGACGCUCAUGCACGAAAGCGUGGGGAGCAAACAGGAUUAGAUACCCUUGUAGUCCC